AUUGAACGCUGGCGGCAGGCCUAACACAUGCAAGUCGAGCGAGCGGCGGAAGGGUGAGUAAUGUCUGGGAAACUGCCAGAUGGAGGGGGGUAACUACUGGAAACGGAAGCGAAUACCGCAUACAAUAAGAUGUGCACAGAUGGGAUUAGCUAGUAGGUGGGGUAACGGCUCACCUAGGCGACGAUCCCUAGCUGGGCUGAGAGGAUGACCCACCACACUGGAACUGAGACACGGUCCAGACGCCUCCGGGAGUCAGACGGGGGGAAGAUGGCACAAUGGGCGCAAGCCUGAUGCAGCCAUGCCGCGUGUGUGAAGAAGGCCUUCGGGUUGUAAAGCACUUUCAGCGGGGAGGCGUUACCCGCAGAAGAAGCACCGGCUAACUCCGUGCCAGCAGCCGCGGUAAUUC
rnacentral:rRNA from 1 species